UCCUCUUUGGGUUUCAGAAUGGGGCCGCAC
rnacentral:piRNA from 1 species